CCCGAGCCUCCUGGGGCGCCCGGCCACUUGACCUCCCCCCACCCCUGCGCUCCGUAUUUUUUCAGUGAUAAAUCCAUACAGGUGCAGUACUCUCAGUGACGGACAGAUCUCCUCCACGUGAUCCCCUCAGAGUCCGACCAAGGCGCGGAGGGACUGACAAGGAGGUUAUGAUUGGCUCCCCUUGAGCGUGGUGCCAAAUCCUCAUCGCAACAUGCCAGGACACAGUGAGGAAAAUUCUGAACUCCUACAUAACCAGACUUCACUCCUCUGUUAAAAAUGCUGACAUGGGGCCAGAGAUGUAGCUCAGUGGUGCCCCUGCCUUCGUGGCAAGCACAAGGCCCUACGUUCAAUGCCCAGUACAAAAAAAAUGCUGUCCUGAUCAAAACACAUUCCCCUUACAAAAAUAAAUUUGCUCGAUACCUUUUAAAAAGUUUGAGACAUCCUCCAGUUGUGGAAUAUUAUCCUCCCGAUAGCCACAAUGUUUAGAAAGCAAAGGAAUCACUGGUGAUUUUUGUGGAGAGAGAGAGACAGUGGUCAUCUUGAAGUGCUGGAUCGUUCUAGUGACUAUGAGGAUGGAUUUGGAGAUGGCAAAGCUGGAGGCAGGGAAACUAGUUAAGGAAUGUGGAAGUGGAGACAAAUAAGGAAGAAAUUUAAGAAAUACUCAGGAGGAACCUGGAGCUUCCAUAAGCAAGCUGAAUGCUCUGGACUUACCAAUGCUCUGCAUGGAUUAAUUCUCCAAAUCUUUUCUGUACUGUACAAUUCUCCAAAAAAUUAACUUCCUAGUCAUCACUGCCUAAUAAAUCAAUCAUGCUGGGUAGCAUGGAUAGUAAGUCUUUCUCCAGCCCAUCUUUAUUCUCCUUUCCAAAAGUCAUUCCCAUUUUAAUAAGAACUAACUGCAGACAUUGAAAAGCUGUACAACUCUUGAAAUACCUCUUGGAACAAAUAGCAAUGCCAGGCAUAGAGGGAGCAGGUGUUUUGGAGCCAAUGACAUUACGUGGUUUUCAAGCAGUUAGUCUCAACUCCACCAAUGCAGAGGCCUAACA